rnacentral:rRNA from 1 species
AUUGAACGCUGUCGGUAGGCCUAACACAUGCAAGUCGAUCGGCCGCACUGUACUAGCUUGCUUUUACAGCUGGCGACUGGCGGGCCAUUCCUGAAAACCUCCCUCUCUACUUUGUCUUACGUUCUUACACAGGGUCUCUUACGCUAUUUCCUCAUACGUCCAACGGGUGGAAUCUGGGGAUCUUCCGCCCUUCCCUGAUCCUAUGCCCCGUUCUCUGAUUAGCUAGUUGGCGGGGUAAAGGGCUACCAAGGCGACGAUCCGUAGCUGGUCUGAGAGGAGGAUCAGGCACACUGGAACUGAGACAAGGUCCAGACUCCUACGGGAGGCAGCAGUGGGGAAUAGUGGACAAUGGGCGCAAGCCUGAUCCAGACAUACCGAGUGGGUGAAGAAGGCCUUCGGAUUGUAAAGCACUUUUAGUGGGAAAGAAAAGCAGUAGGUUAAUACCUCGCUGUUCUGACGGUACCAAAAGAAUAAGCACCGGAUAACUUCGUG